rnacentral:lncRNA from 1 species
CUUUUUUUCUUUUUCUUUUUUCUUUUCUUUUUUUCCCUUUUUUUAAUAAAGUAAUAAAUUAAAAAAGAAAUUAAUUAAUAUUUAAUAUUCUUAAACAAAACCACCACAGUUCCCUCCAUAGUCCACGGAAGGGGACACCAAAUCGCCACCACUAUGUGCGCCAUAUACACCACUCUCUCACGGUAUAAUCGGGUUUGUGGGGCGCCACAAACUCACUUCCGAGUUUCGACAAAGCUCACCAGCCGCUCAAUUUCUGCAGCUCCUCGCCGCCGUAGGCGACGGAAGAGAGGAGAAAAUUCUGGUGAAAGUGGGAGGUGGAAUGGGAGGCGGCAGCGAGGUGAAGUUGGCGGUGGACCGGUGUCUGCGGCAAGAAGAGUGGAGGAGACAUGUUGUGGAAGGAAAGAGGUGGGGCCGGUGGUGGUGGCGGCGUGAAGAGGUGACUGCCGGAGGUGGUGGUGGUGGUGCGAUUUCUAUAGGAAGAAUAGAAAAGAAGAGAAAUAAUACGUUAUAGAAUAGAAACCCCCAUUGUGUUAUGGGUUGAUUACAUGGAAUAUAUAUAAAGAAAUAUUGCAAGGUAAUAGAGUUUGACUAGGUAACUAAAUCCUAACUAAUCUAGGUAACCGAAUCAUACUAGAAUCCUAAUAUUAGGAGAGUUCUAUAAUAUAAUAUUCUCUAACACGCCCCCGCAGUCGAAACGUGACGAACGUGAAGACUGGACAAUCACUUGCUAGCACGCUCCCGCAGUCGGAACGAAUAAACUUCAAA